AUCCAGCUGACGAGUUCCAAAUACGACGAAACGCGCGUCCUGGAU
rnacentral:hammerhead_ribozyme from 1 species